ACUCAAAGGAAUUGACGGGGGCCCGCACAAGCAGUGGAGUAUGUGGUUUAAUUCGAAGCAACGCGAAGAACCUUACCAGGGCUUGACAUCUACCAAAUCUCGCAGAGAUGUGAGAGUGCCUUUCGGGGAAUGGUAAGACAGGUGGUGCAUGGUUGUCGUCAGCUCGUGUCGUGAGAUGUUGGGUUAAGUCCCGCAACGAGCGCAACCCUUAUUGUCAGUUGCUACCAUUAAGUUGAGAACUUUGGCAAGACUGCCGGCGACAAGUCGGAGGAAGGUGGGGACGACGUCAAAUCAUCAUGCCCCUUAUGUCCUGGGCUACACACGUACUACAAUGGCCGUUAACAACAGGCAGCGAAACCGCGAGGUGGAGCAAACCCCCAAAAACGGUCUCAGUUCGAAUUGCAGGCUGAAACUCGCCUGUAUGAAGUCGGAAUUGCUAGUAAUCGCGAAUCAGCAUGUCGCGGUGAAUACGUUCCCGGGCCUUGUACACACCGCCCGU
rnacentral:rRNA from 1 species